GAUGAGUUGUGUUUAGGGGUGAAAGGCCAAUCAAACCGGGAAAUAGCUGGUUCUCCGCGAAAUCUAUUUAGGUAGAGCGUCGACCGAAUACCCCAGGGGGUAGAGCACUGGAUGGGCUAGGGGUCCUCACCGGAUUACCAAACCUAACCAAACUCCGAAUACCUGGGAGUACUAGUCGGCAGACACACGGCGGGUGCUAACGUCCGUCGUGAAAAGGGAAACAACCCUGACCUACAGCUAAGGUCCCCAAGUUAUGGCUAAGUGGGAAAGGAUGUGAGGAUCCCAAAACAACCAGGAUGUUGGCUUAGAAGCAG
rnacentral:rRNA from 1 species